rnacentral:rRNA from 1 species
UACGUAGGGGGCUAGCGUUGUCCGGAUUUAUUGGGCGUAAAGAGCGUGUAGGCGGCCAGGUAGGUCUGCUGUGAAAACUCGAGGCUCAACCCUCGGAUGCCGGUGGAUACUGUCGGGCUUGAGUACGGAAGAGGCGAGUGGAAUUCCUGGUGUAGCGGUGAAAUGCGCAGAUAUCAGGAGGAACACCAAUUGCGAAGGCAGCUCGCUGGGACGUUACUGACGCUGAGACGCGAAAGCGUGGGGAGCAAACAGG